ensembl:snRNA U2 U2 spliceosomal RNA
AUUUCUCUUCAGCCUUUGGGCUAAAAUCAAGUGUAGUAUCUGCUCCCAUCAGCUGAAUGUCUGCUAUGUCCUCUAUCCAAGGACAGUAUACUAAAUAGAUUUUUGGAGCUGGGAGUUGGAAUGAGGCACUUGUUCUGUCCAUUCCACAAAUUGACCUGAAAUAGCAGUACUCCCAGGAGUGGUACAUGUCCC